rnacentral:misc_RNA from 1 species
AUUAUUUCUUGUUUGUUUUCACAAAAAGUUGAAAACCUAAUCCUAGACUUCAUAGGCAGGGAACCUAGACUCAAAUGGCUCAACAAGAUCCAAAAACAAACAAGCCAUUCCUCCAAUUCCUUCAAACAAAGAAAAUGGAUGAUCACCUUUAUGCAUAACACCUUCACAUAUCAAAGUAUGAGCUCUAUCAUGUAGAAAACAAGCAAAUGCUUUUGCUUUGUAUAAAUACUCCUCUUCCCUUGUUAGUUUGUAUAGUGAUAGAAAAACAUAAGCAUUCCCACUUAUUCCAUGACAAAUCCCGACUCGUUUGAGUAAACCUCGUCUCCAUACUACCUCCCCUGCUUCUCUAGCUGCUUCGAGAAACUCAUCAUCACCAAAAACCUUAGCUGCUUUUGCAAGGGUGAGUGCAACACCAGCAGCACCAUGACACCAAUGGACGCGAACAUCUGAUUCAUCUCCUUCACUCGUACGAUAAUUUCCACUCGAAAAUCGAUUCUUGAUCAUGUACCUUAAUGUUCCUUUAACAUCUUCAAUUUCAUCUUGUUUCAGUUCCAUGUCUAGUAAAACAUUCAUAACACCAGCUAUUCCAUGGGCAGCUCCCCAGUACUUUUCCCCCCUCGAUUCGUACAUUAAAGGAGACUUAAAAU